CCCCCCGUCUGCUACCCCUUCGAUCCACCCCGUACCCCUUUCUCCUCCCGAUGUCGCCGCCCCCCGAUCAGCCGCUGCUACGCGCCACCACGACCACCACCUCCUCCUGAUCUCGCUGCCCAACCACCACCCGCCGCCGCUGCCACCAACCACUCCCUGAUGACGGAGAUCGCGCAGUCCCGCCCGACUGCAGCGCCCCGGCUGGGCGCGCGCUAGCCACGUCGCCGGGCGCCCCACUUCUUCGUGCGCUGCCCUCCACGUCGACUGCAGUGCCCCGGACGCCAUUUCCCUCCUGCCACCGCGGCCACUGCCUCCGCGCCGGCAACCCAGGGGACCUUCAUGUACAUCAUUACAAGUUGGCGAAGGAGGUGACAUGUAAGCGUGCGGUUUGCCUUCCUUGCCGCCACGUGUAAAAAUUCUCCGUUGUGAGGUAUGCGCUGGAUUUUUGUUGCUGACUUAAUUUGGGGUUCACAGAGCGAAGAGAUCAAGAAGGCAAGGGGCGUCCAAGGUAAGAACACUGGUGUAGUCUGUAGUAUUUACACCUACAGGCAUGAGCAGUAGACAAGGAAUUGUUCAGAAUUCAGAAACUUGCCUUCCUGUUUGGUACCAUAGUAAUACUUCUGUCACAUACUCCCUCUGUCCCAUAUUAAAUGUCGAAAUAUUACAUGUAGCUAGAUGUUUUUUAGGUAUAGAUACAUCAAUAUUACAUGUAUCUAGACACUUUUUAGGUAUACAUACAUCCAUAUUUGGACAAAUUUGAGUCACUUGAUAUGGAACGGAGAGAUUACUUGUGUUAUCUGAAGAUGGUUUGCUGGUGGUUCACACAAUUGCUCUUGUUCCUUACUAUCUGCACUGCAAUCGCAUAAUACACGGUGACCUCAAGUGUUCCAAUAUCUUGUAAACAAAAGAUUGACAAGCUGCAAGCAAAGUUGUCGAAGCAAAAGUUGUCGAAGCAAAAGAAACAACUCUACGCAGAUACCUGAAAAUCCUGAACUCCCUUCUAUAAUUUUAACCUGGUGUUAACUAUAUUGACUUGUUUCGUUUCGACAGAUUCUGUAUCUUUUUGCCAUGUACCGAAUUAUUCAAUUGGGAUGGUGAUAGGGUAAAGGUGGCCCAAUCUUUCGAUGAGGAGAUAGCUAUCGAUUUGGAUGGAGGUCGACGUUGACGAACCGACUACAAACGUGCGAAACGUUGUGCCUUAGCGAUCGCUACACCAACUUUCGAGGUUAUUGACCACGCCGGAGCUAGAUCAACCUGAUCCUGAAGGAUCAAUCCAUGCAGGCAACCGAAGAACCAGCAAGAAUAAUAGAUGCAAUCAAGAUAAUGCGAAUAAAGAUGAAGCUUUAUAUAUGGGAUUCUACAAGUGCAUAGUAUAGGAGGUCGAUUUGACUCGGUGUGGAACAGAUUAUGGCGCUGGUUUGGUUCGGCCAUGGUCACUUGUGCACUCAAAACUCGCUGGGCAAUUAAGCUCGGGUAUUUCUCCGCUUCUUCUGCAGCCAUAAAGUGCGACCCGUGCUCUUGGGUGGCUACGGCACAUUGCUCCUCAUGUGCAAUAAGAGCUAAAGUGUCCUCAUCAAAAUCACUGGCGGAGUCGUACCCACCAUCCUCAAGAGCAAUCAUGACACGAGCGGAGGGGCAUUCACGUGCAAUGUGAUCAAGCCCGCUGCAUUUGCGGCAUUGAAUCUGGCUAGAUUUGCCCGUAGAAGCCAUGGAGGACGAAGAACUUGGGGCUGGUCCAGCGGGAGUACGCUUCGCUGCAAAUGGAGUUGAUGUAGGCGCUGCUGAGCGUGUGGGUGUGGGCGUAGAAGUGGAAGGUGCAGCAACC